rnacentral:lncRNA from 1 species
GACCCUGAAGCCACUGCCACACCCUCUAUUUACCAGCUAUGGCUGUGGUAAGAAAUUACCACAGACUUAGUGGCUUGAAACAACACUCUUAAUAUCUAAACAGUUCUGUAAGUCAGAAGUCCAAUGUGUGCCUCACUGGAUAACAUCAAAGUGUAGGCAGGGCUGGGUUCCUUCUGCAGGCUGGAGGGAAGAAUGCAUUUCUUUGCCGUUCCCAGCUUGUAAAGACUGCCCAGAUUCUUUGGCUUGGGGCCUCUUGCUCCAUCUUCAAAGCCAGCCACCUCAUCACUUGGACCUCUACUUUUGUCGUCACACCUCCUUCUCUGCUUCUCCUCUUUCACUUAUUUCUGGACGAGUUUGACCUGUUCAUUACCUUUCUGCCCUGGAUCCAACAGGCCUCCCUCCAUUCUAAAUCCUACUCCUCUUUCUAUGCUCAUUUCCCUUAGGUCUUUCUGUUCAUCUUUUCUCUCCUGCACUAUCUUCCUCUCCUGAUAAUUUAGUUCUUUACAGGUACAAAUGUAAUGGGUAAAACACCUUAUACACAGAAUACUUGCGUUGUCCUCUGACUACCACUUAAAAGUCUGCUGUUUUUCAGACUCGUUGAGACACAUGUGACAAUGUGUGGGAAAGGACAGUCUAAACUCCAAGCAGCUGUCAGUACUGGGUUCCCAACCUGCUGGGCUCCCCUCUCUCUCCUUUCCUCUCCAGGCCCUCACCCAGGCCCAGAGCCAGUCUGCAAAGAGCAUGUCGGUGACGUCAGAGGAGGAGGAGGAGGGGGUUGAGGUGAGGGGAGGCAGCAGGGGGAGGAGAGAAGCAGAGCAGAACAGCCUGGCCCCCGCUGGCAAGGAAUUUGCUGGCAGAGGUCUGUGUAGUCUUCGUGUGCUUGCAGGGGGGAGGAGGGUCACAGGCUGUACUGGCCCUGUUUCCUCCCAGCCCCCUAAACACACACACACACACCCCCCACACACACCCCCGCAAAUCCGAAUGUCAAGGUCAUGCUCCAUCUCUGCCGCACUAACCCUUUCUGCUGCCUGCAUGUCAGCAUUUCUUUUUUGAUAAAGGAGGCGAUUGGAUGAGAUGUUUCACCUCUGAAACUCUGACCAAUUGCACAGCAAAAACAACACCGACUAAAAAUGGUGGGCUCUGCGGGUGUGUCUGGGGAGAGCGGGGGCGGCAGGCCUGUGUCCUGUUGACUGUCAGUUUCUGAGAGGAGGAGGGAUAUGGCAAGAGAGAAAUGCAGCUGUCUUGGCAGAGAGAAUGAGAAAGAGAGAAAACUCAAGGCCAAAGAAGCUGGGUCUUUUAGAAACACUGUCUACAAUCCUUAAACACCCAUUGACGCCCCAAGUCCGGCAGAGGCCCCACUCAGCUGCACAGACAUGCCUAAAUACUGGCUUUGCUUCUCAGCCUCAGAGGACCUUGUAGUCAGAAAUCUGUGCCUGGGUAGCUGGGCUUGCUCAUGUCUAGAGACCAUUGGGAAGUGACCCCGCUGUCUGCCCUCCCAUCUCAGGCCGGGCCUGGCAGGCUGGUUCCGAGGGAGCUUAAACUUGGGCAGGGAAGUGAGGAGAGGACGCGCAGCUUGCAGAUUUAGAGUAAAGGAGGCGAGGGAGAAGGGAGCCGUGGCUGUGCCUGUGAACAAAAUGCUGACCCUCCCCUGAGUAACAGAGAAUUCUCUCUGCCUUCAGAAUGGGCCACUGCCUUUUUUCCUGCCUUCGGACUCGAACUGAAAGUUCAGCUCCUCCUGGGUUUUGAGCCUAUUGGCCUUCAGACUGGAAUAACGCCAUCAGCUCACCUGGGUCUCGGCUUGCUGGCUCACCCUGCAGAUACUGAGACUUGUGGUCUCCGUAAUUGUUCAAGCCAAUUCCUUACAAUAAAUCUAUCUCUAUCUAUCCGUCUAUCUAUCUAUCUGUCUAUCUAUCUGUCUAAUCCCCUUUUGGUUCUGUUUCUCUGGAGAACCCGACUAAUACAGGCCCCCACCCUACCCUGGCAUAAUGUGCUCCUCUCAGCUGCUCCCGCCUGCACGUGGCUUUGCUUCUGGUCACUACUGUAACCCCUGAAAACAAGCCCUCACUGGGGGCUCUUCUUUAUUUACAGAAGUAGAGAGUGAAGUGGGACAAGACUCACUCCUGUGUGUUUCCUCAGGCUUUUUUUUCCUGGCCACUCCUUUAAAGCUCUAUGUUGUAUAACAAAGGAACUUCCAGUGCGGAGGAGGGGGUGAGUACACUGAAUGUAAGUAAUUCUUUCUCAUAGUUUGUGAUAAACACCUCCAGGAAAAUAAAUCUGCUGUGGGAGGGCCUUUAUGGCUGCUUCUCCCUCCCCAUUUCUUCCUCACCUCCUCACAUGUCUCUCCCUGUGCACUUUUAUAGGGACUGAAAUAAAUUUGUUAAAUGGGAUUAUGACAAACACAAACAGGAAGAAGAAAAAUUUUAAAGCUUAUGCUUGGAACAUUUUGUGUUUGGAAAUAAAAUUUGCUCAGAGUCUGAAAAGAACCUACAACUAGAAUAUACAACUAUGUACUGGCGGGGUCUGGGGAGAAGAAGAAGAAAAGUAAGAGAAAGUUGG